UACCAACUAUGAAGUACAAGGGGAAAAAGCUCAGCAGCCGGCUCUAAUCCCCACCACCGCGUGGCCACCUCCACCGCACCACCUCCUCUUUUCCCAUCACCACCGAGCCACAACCACCGCACCACCUCCUCUAUUCCCCUCAAACCCACCACCACCGAUCACCUCUUCACCAUCAGAAUUGCACCGCCACCUUUAGCAAAACCUAAAUCGAGCACCACCACCAUCGCUCCCUUUCUUUCCAGAUCGUGCCACCGCCGGCACCGUUCCGUCAUUUUCCCCUGAUUUCUCGCUUACUCUGUAUCAACGUCACUGAUUUCCCCCAUUUCUAGCGGUUACCGACGUCACUCGGCGCAAAAGACUUACUUUCCACGACCCUCAGCGUGCUCCCACGGAUUCUCCGGUGAUGGCCAUCACAUCUCCCUGUCAACCAUCACGUGGGUAAGCCUUCAACACAUUGUAUCUUAACGCUUCUCAUACGUUUUCUCCUAAUUUCGUCCUUUUUAUGAAUUUUUUAUCUGAUAUAGUUGAUUAGAUGUGCAUUUUUUUGGGGGAUUUGGUACUUGGUUUAGCACUUCUCAUACGUUUUGCAUUCAUCUGUAAUUUCUAUUCUGAGCAGAAGUUGGGAUUAGGUAUGUAGAUGGAGGGUUAUAGGUGGAAGGCUUUCCAGAGACUCUUCUAUUAUUUUGUUUCUUCAGAUCGAUUUGCCUAUAAAUAUCCCCUCAGAUCUCAUUCAACCACACUUCACCUCCCCUUCCCCUUCCAGUUAGCUCUGCUAUUUAACCAUUCAUUUGUGUGUUAUCAACUGUUCUGCAAAAUAUUUUGUAUUCUUGCCAUUUGUUGCCUUUCCUGAUUUCUUUUCUCUUUUUCUCAAAUAUGUGUACUCUGGAGCUCUACUUUUGUAAAUCAAUGGUUCUGCUGGAGCAAUUAAUAAAAUUAUGCAAGAAGGACAAUGGUAAUUGUGCAGGAAGAUUCCUGGUAUUGCCCCUUUGGAAGCAUUAUUUGGUUGCUUCUGAUGCCCUCUUUUUAAAGAGCGUUCAGGUUGCCUUGGCAGUACUCUAGCUGUGAUGAAGAAAUCAUCGAAAUUUCUUCCGGUUAUUGGCUGGUCAAUUUGGUUUUCAGAGUAUCUCUUUUUGGAGAGAAGUUGGGCCAAGGAUGAAAGCACAUUAAAGUCAUCCUUCCGGCGGCUGAGUGAUUUCCCUCUUCCAUUUUGGUUGGCUCUAUUUGUAGAAGGAACAUGCUUUACACAGGACAAACUCUUAGUUGCACAGGAAUAUGCAACCUCCACUGGAUUGCCUGUUCACAGGAAUAUGUUGGUCAUGUAUGGUCUCACUGCCUGUAGUGGUGUUGUUUGUUGUUUGUUGCUGAGUUUAUGAGUUUUGCAUUGUUGCUGAAAUUGAGCGUGCAAGGAAGAGUUUCUGUUUUCUUGACCAAGCCACACUCUGCUUAUGUAUCUUUGGCUGGUAGUAUAAUUCCUCAAGAGAUGGUGGUGGGGUGUUGAAUUUUGGUUAAGUGAUUAAUGAAGUAUCCAACCUUAUGUUUUGCCUCUGGAUAUGAUUGUACUUUAUAUAAAACAUAUUGGUUCCAUGUGUAAAAGUACUACACUAC